ACUGGAUGAAGCUAACCAGACAGAGUGAGACCAGAGAGAAGAUGUGGCCCAGAAAGUCAUAACCUCCUGUUCCUGACUUGGACUUUCCCCUUUGUCCUAUGUCUGGAGACUUCUUGGAAGCUGGAGCACACAAACAGCUACAGCAAACUUGAGGAAUGGGCAUGAAUAGACUGGCUUCGGGGAACCUGCCAGCUUGGCCAUGUGGCCAAGGUAAUAGGCAAGCCAAGGCAGAGCUAGAGCUCAGAGCUGGAGGGGAAAUUAAAGCAGCAAAUGUAGAAACAUUAAGCCUGAAGAGGCGACAACGUUGAAUUCUAAAAUGCAGACCAAAGCUCAGACUGCAAGCUGUCUGGCUGCUCCGGGUGUGCCCAGAAGUCAAAGUCCAGCAGGGGCAAAGGUGGAGGUGUGGUCCUGCAUAUGGGGUGUUGGGGGGAUGUGGAAGAGGAGGUGCUUUAAGAUCCAGAGAUCCCAGCUGCCCUGGUGCACCCUUGGAAGAAUAAAAGGCUAGGAACUGGACAAGUCAGGCUCAAGUCCAAGCUGCCUAAGGAAUCAGGGAAAGAAUGGAGCUCAGAGUGGGAGGUCAGGGCAGUAUCUAAAAAUCCAUUAUAGGAGCAAAGCUGGCGGUGGCCCCUGACUCUGGUAAAGGCAGCCUGCAGCAUCAUGCCACGGGGGGGCCUGACUGAUCACGCCUUGCAUUUGCAAACAAGGAUUAGUAGGGUAUGAGUAGGAUUCUGCUGGUGCCCGAGAAGGCAAUGCCAUCUACAUCUUUACAAAGUUUUAACAAAGGCCUGGAGGACACAACCUUCCUCAAAGUCCUGAUGUCGCUGUUUGUUGGCAACAAUUAGAGCCAAAAGAAGAGAGGCACAGAAUGUGCCAGGGGUGUGCUGCGUACAGCCCCGAUGACCACAAGGCCUUCUUGGGUCAAGUUCUGCCAUCUCUGGUUAAGAUGGGCUCACCCUCUAGCACCUUGAUUGAGUCCUCGGACCACCAAGAGUGCCCCACCAAGAGCCUCCCUCUUCUGGUGACUCAUGCCUGCUUCCCGUGGAGAGCUCCAGAAGGGAGGAAACUGUGAAGAGGUGGAGAACGUGGCAGGGAUCCUAACUUUCUUACUGAAGGAAGUUCUUAACAAGUACCCAUCUGCCUUCAGGGAAGAAAACAUAACUCAUUUUGGUCUUUCAAAUUCAGUUCUCAAAACCAAAUCCUGUUGUCAGCAAUCUGUGUCCCAACGCCUUCUUCAGCAACAGCAUUUUCCCUGUGGAAUUAGUUUCCAAUGUUCUUUCUUAAAUAAACCACUGAAGAUUGAAAGGAAUCCA